rnacentral:rRNA from 1 species
GAUGAACGCUAGCUACAGGCUUAACACAUGCAAGUCGAGGGGAAACGGCAUCGAAAGCUUGCUUUUGAUGGGCGUCGACCGGCGCACGGGUGAGUAACGCGUAUUCAACCUGCCCAUCACUUGGGAAUAACCUUGCGAAAGUAAGACUAAUGCCCAAUGACAUCCCACGAAGGCAUCCGAAGGGGAUUCAAGAUUUAUCGGUGAUGGAUGGGGAUGGGUCUGAUUAGCUUGUUGGCGGGGUGACGGCCCACCAAGGCAACGAUAAGUAGGCGUUCUGAGAGGAAGGUCCCCGACAUUGGAACUGAGACACGAUCCAACGCCUACGGGAGGCAGCAGUGAGGAAUAGUAGGCAAUGGGGGAGAGCCUGAACCAGCCAAGUAGCGUGCAGGAUGGCGGCCCUAUGGGUUGUAAGCUGCUUUUAGAAGGGAAAAGAGUGGGUAACGGGUGACUUUUUGCAUGUACCUGAUGAAUAAGGACCGGCUAAUUCCGUG